UAGGGGAUCUUCGGCAAUGGGGGGAACCCUGACCGAGCAACGCCGCGUGAGUGAAGAAGGUUUUCGGAUCGUAAAGCUCUGUUGUUAAGGAAGAACGAGUGUGAGAAUGGAAAGUUCAUACUGUGACGGUACUUAACCAGAAAGGGACGGCUAACUACGUGCCAGCAGCCGCGGUAAUACGUAGGUCCUGAGCGUUGUCCGGAUUUAUUGGGCGUAAAGCGAGCGCAGGCGGUUAGAUAAGUCUGAAGUUAAAGGCAGUGGCUCAACCAUUGUAGGCUUUGGAAACUGUUUAACUUGAGUGCAGAAGGGGAGAGUGGAAUUCCAUGUGUAGCGGUGAAAUGCGUAGAUAUAUGAAGGAACACCGGUGGCGAAAGCGGCUCUCUGGUCUGUAACUGACGCUGAGGCUCGAAAGCGUGGGGAGCAAACGGG
rnacentral:rRNA from 1 species